rnacentral:lncRNA from 1 species
AAAAAAAACUGACAUGCAGAGAAUAGGCCGUUCUUCUCUCUGGGGAAACAGAUCCUAGAGUCUCACCGUGUGUCUGUCAGGUCUGUCAGUAAGGCCUGUUUUAUCAGGUCACAUUGCCAUGUAUAAUGGAUGUUACUGUGGCAACCUGACAGGAUGAGAUGCUUUGUCUCUCUCUUUUCCUGCAUAUGAGAACUGAGCAGUGAAUUCUGAAGGGUCCUUCUAGCUCCGAGCUGUGCUUUCAGGCCGCUUCACUCCAUCAAACAGCUGAUAAAAUGGUCCGGGGAGAGCGAGAGAGACAGACUGCUGUGCCUGACGUGGAUACCGGGGCUUGUGAAACUGACCAGAUAAACUCCAUGAAAGUCAAUGGGAUCCUUUUUUUUCCGGACUGCGUAUAUGGACAAAAACUGUUUAAACACCGUAGAGAAUAUCUUCUUUUGUGUUCUACAGAAGAAACAAAGUCAUGCAGGUUUGAAAUCACAUGGGGGACAUAAAUGGUUUUGGACAUGUACUAUGGUAAAACGCCUGAAACUUUGACACCAUGUCAAGAAGACUAAUGAACUGUGUAGUAUCUCUUUAUGCGUAACGAUGGGUGUCCAUCAAAUUAACGCAAGACUUAACUCCUCUGAACAAAGUACAUCCCUGUCUUUUAAGACAGAAACAGGUGGGUCGGGGGAUUUGCUUCACGUACUGUGAAAGCAGACGUGGCUUUUCAUGUUUUUCAUCUCUUUCUCUCCCCUUUUUGCCUUUCAAUGCAUUCUUUUUCUCCCUCUCUCACUAAACAGACAACAAGCCCUCACCACCUCCGAGAACGCAGGGUAUGAUGCACUCUAAAAAACGCUGGGUUGUUUUUUUCAACCCAACUGCUGGGUUGAGGCCGUUGGAUAGGACUUUGGGAUGUUUUAACCCAAGUUUGGGUUGAAAAUAAGGUUUAAAAAAAAAAAGUUUAACCCAGCGGGUCUGGGUUGAGGACGCGGACGUGAAGGAGAGCACGCACGUCACGUCAAGAUCGUACGUCUCCAGUGCGAGCAGCCGCCAUUUUCUCAGCGUGAUAGAAGCGAGAAGCGAGUGAAAGACUAUGGUAAGUAAAUAUUUAAAAUGUAAAGUUAUCUUUUAUUGUUUACCAGGUUGUAUGAAAGGCGGAAUGUUUUAUGAAAGGCGGAAACAAAGGAGCUUAACGUUAUAUAUAUAUAUAUAUAUUUAAAAAAAAACGGACGCGGUUUUCGCCUCAGACACGGAGGUCUUAACUGCCUCAUGUAACGGUACUGAACGGAGGAUGUACUUUUAAUAUAACGUCUGUGAAUGUAUUUUGUCAUAUUUACAUAAGAUUUAACAUUAUCUGUACUUUUUGAGGCGUUAACAGACGGUUAUGGUCACGGUUACGCUCAUGUGAAUUUGUCUUUUUUUUUCGCGGUUAAACUGAAUGUAUGUUUGUCUCCUAAAGGAAACGGCAUUGUGUAGUAAAGACUAGCAUAAUUAUUUUGAGGCUGUUGAAGUGGUAACUGUUAAAAGUAUGUUUUACAUGUAAUAUUUCAGACUUGUCAAGCUUGUGUCUUCAUUGUCCUCGCGCUGAGAGUUAAAGACACAGAAGCUGUUUGUGUGAGGAGUCACAGACCUGUGUGAGGAUGAGGAGGAGGUGUUUUUCUGAAGAGAGGGACAGACGGUUUAAGGAGAGUAAACUUCAGAAUAACAUCAAGUUAUCUUUAUUUUUACUAAGACUAAAAUAAUGUUGUUGUUUUUUUUAGAUGUUGCAAUCCAGAGACAAGAUAACUUCAUUCUUUUGAGACUGAUGUAAGUUAAGUUAUUAUUACUUUUUUUUUUUAGAAAAUUAAUGUUUAUGUUGUGUCCUGCCUGUUAACU